CGCCACAUGCGAAACAACUAUGUUCUCUCGCUGAAUAAGCUAUAUAUGCAUUGUAUGUUCAAUGUUCAUAUGUUGUAUACAGGUAAUAAUGACAAAUUGUGACAAAUGUGUAGCAGUGUUUAAAUUGAGCAUUUUGAAUUCUGAUAAAGUUAAUAAAAAAAACAGUUUCAUAUAUAUUUGUGGAAAUAACUGAUAUGGCAGCAAUAAAGGUCAAUCCAUCAAGUUCACCUUCUGUUGAAUUAAGUUCUUAUCGUGAUCAACAUUUUAAGGGUUCAAGGGCUGAACAAGAUAGGUUGUUAAGAAAUUCUACAACCUUAUAUGUUGGAAAUCUGUCUUUUUAUACUACAGAAGAACAAAUAUAUGAACUAUUUUCCAAAUGUGGUGAUAUUAGGAGAAUUAUAAUGGGUUUAGACAAAUACAAGAAGACUCCUUGUGGUUUUUGUUUUGUUGAGUAUUAUCAAAGAAGUGAUGCUGAAAACUGUAUGCGAUAUAUUAAUGGAACGCGUUUAGAUGAUAGAAUAAUCAGGACAGAUUGGGAUGCUGGUUUUAUCGAAGGCAGACAAUAUGGAAGAGGAAAAACUGGAGGACAAGUAAGGGACGAAUAUAGAUCAGACUUUGAUAGUGGAAGAGGAGGUUAUGGUAAAAUAAUACAACAGAAAGUAACACCUAUUUCGGAUGGAGCAUUUGGACGUUAAGAUUUUGUAACGCAAUUUAUGACAUACAUCCUUCGUCAACGAUAGCGAAUCUAUGGCAUGUGUUCCAUUGGUAAUCCGUACAAAAAUUUUGAUGGCACCUCAACGAUUUACAGAUGUUACGCGAUAAAAUAAGUCAAAUUAACCCCCAAUUAAAAUUGUUUUAAUUUUGAAAAAAAUGUAUCUUUCGAGUUCUACAGGUUAUAUUAAUAAGGAAAUAACGACAAACAAAUGUUUCUUAUUGUAAAUGUUUAUUUAGAGAAAACAACAUAGUAUUCCAAAUUUGUAUUAUUUUGGAAAGACAACAAUAAACUGUAAUUACGAACGAUAAUAAAUAUUUUCAAUAAUUUCGUUAA